rnacentral:rRNA from 1 species
AGAGUUUGAUCCUGGCUCAGGAUGAUCGCUAGCGGCAGGCUUAACACAUGCAAGUCGAGGGGCAGCGGGGAGGAAGCUUGCUUUCUCCGCCGGCGACCGGCGCACGGGUGAGUAACACGUAUGCAACCUGCCCCUGUCAGGGGGACAACCCGCCGAAAGGCGGGCUAAACCCGCGUACAUGCCACCGGGGCAUCCCGGAGGCAGGAAAGGCUUCGGCCGGACAGGGAUGGGCAUGCGGCGCAUUAGGCAGUAGGCGGGGUAACGGCCCACCUAACCGACGAUGCGUAGGGGUUCUGAGAGGAAGGUCCCCCACACUGGUACUGAGACACGGACCAGACUCCUACGGGAGGCAGCAGUGAGGAAUAUUGGUCAAUGGUCGGGAGACUGAACCAGCCAAGCCGCGUGAGGGAGGAAGGUACAGAGUAUCGUAAACCUCUUUUGUCAGGGAACAAAGGCGGGGACGUGUCCCCGGAUGAGUGUACCUGAAGAAAAAGCAUCGGCUAACUCCGUGCCAGCAGCCGCGGUAAUACGGAGGAUGCGAGCGUUAUCCGGAUUUAUUGGGUUUAAAGGGUGCGCAGGCGGUCUGUUAAGUCAGCGGUCAAAGCCCGGGGCUCAACCCCGGCCCGCCGUUGAAACUGGCAGUCUCGAGUUGGAGAGAAGUAUGCGGAAUGCGCGGUGUAGCGGUGAAAUGCAUAGAUAUCGCGCAGAACUCCGAUUGCGAAGGCAGCAUGCCGGCUCCACACUGACGCUGAGGCACGAAAGCGUGGGUAUCGAACAGGAUUAGAUACCCUGGUAGUCCACGCAGUAAACGAUGAAUGCUGGCUGUCCGGGGGGACUGACCCCUGGGUGGCGAAGCGAAAGCGAUAAGCAUUCCACCUGGGGAGUACGCCGGCAACGGUGAAACUCAAAGGAAUUGACGGGGGCCCGCACAAGCGGAGGAACAUGUGGUUUAAUUCGAUGAUACGCGAGGAACCUUACCCGGGCUCAAACGGGGAGUGGCGCAGGCAGAGACGCCUGUUUCCCACGGGACACUCCCCGAGGUGCUGCAUGGUUGUCGUCAGCUCGUGCCGUGAGGUGUCGGCUUAAGUGCCAUAACGAGCGCAACCCCCGCGUGCAGUUGCUAACAGUCAACGCUGAGGACUCUGCACGGACUGCCGGCGCAAGCCGCGAGGAAGGCGGGGAUGACGUCAAAUCAGCACGGCCCUUACGUCCGGGGCGACACACGUGUUACAAUGGGUGGUACAGCGGGAAGCCAGGCGGCGACGCCGAGCGGAACCCGAAAUCCACUCUCAGUUCGGAUCGGAGUCUGCAACCCGACUCCGUGAAGCUGGAUUCGCUAGUAAUCGCGCAUCAGCCAUGGCGCGGUGAAUACGUUCCCGGGCCUUGCACACACCGCCCGUCA